ACCCUACUAACGAGUGCCAAACAGCACGAAACUCGGGUCCAGUGU
rnacentral:hammerhead_ribozyme from 1 species